rnacentral:rRNA from 1 species
AGUGAACGCUGGCGGUAGGCCUAACACAUGCAAGUCGAACGGCAGCACAGUAAGAGCUUGCUCUUACGGGUGGCGAGUGGCGGACGGGUGAGGAAUACAUCGGAAUCUACUUUUUCGUGGGGGAUAACGUAGGGAAACUUACGCUAAUACCGCAUACGACCUACGGGUGAAAGCAUGGGAUCUUCGGACCUUGCGCGAUUGAAUGAGCCGAUGUCGGAUUAGUUAGUUGGCGGGGUAAAGGCCCACCAAGGCGACGAUCCGUAGCUGGUCUGAGAGGAUGAUCAGCCACACUGGAACUGAGACACGGUCCAGACUCCUACGGGAGGCAGCAGUGGGGAAUAUUGGACAAUGGGCGCAAGCCUGAUCCAGCCAUACCGCGUGGGUGAAGAAGGCCUUCGGGUUGUAAAGCCCUUUUGUUGGGGAAGAAAAGCAGCAGGUUAAUACCCCGCUGUUCUGACGGUACCCAAAGAAUAAGCACCGGCUAACUUCGUG